rnacentral:rRNA from 1 species
UACGUAGGUGACAAGCGUUGUCCGGAUUUACUGGGCGUAAAGAGCGCGCAGGCGGUCGAUCAAGUCGAGUGUGAAAGCCCCCGGCUCAACUGGGGAGGGUCAUUCGAUACUGAUCGACUCGAAGGCAGGAGAGGGUAGUGGAAUUCCCGGUGUAGUGGUGAAAUGCGUAGAUAUCGGGAGGAACACCAGUGGCGAAGGCGGGUCUCUGGGCAAUAACUGACGCUGAGGAGCGAAAGCGUGGGGAGCGAACAGG